rnacentral:misc_RNA from 1 species
AAGCACCGGCUGUCUGUAUCUGUCUCGUAUUCUCUGUGCUUCGGUGGUACUUGUUGCUCGCCUGCCUUCCGGAAGAGCGCCCGGACAGCCCUCGUCCUUUCCCUCUCUUUGGGACGGCAGGGGGCACCAUCACGCUCCCCGCCCCUCCCAUACACGCACAACCCGCUCAGAGCGCGUCGCUACAUAGAGAAGAGCCGCCCCGACCCCCCUCCUCCUCCUCCUCCUUCUCUCCCUUCGGCAAGAGCAUCGCUGAAGAGGUUGCAGCGGAGGCAACGGGUGUGAAGAGGCGAGGGACGAGAUAUCUUGGUGGCGCCAUCUCUCCCGCCUGCCAUCCGCCUCUCUUCCACGCAGCGUUGCGUCCUCACCCACCGAUCACGGCUCCCCGGUCUCGUAUUCCUUCGCCGCCGCCGCUGCCGCCGCCUCCGUUUGGACGGCGCACACGGGGUUGUUGCUUCAUUGCUCUCUGGCGUGUCGACGGGCCUUUGCGUUGAUGCCCCCCAGGACGAAGCGCAGUGCUGCGGCGGCAAGGUCAAGUGUCGGUGCGCCGGCUGAACCUCUCCUGGGAACGCCCACGCAUGCGGCUGCCGCUGCAGCCGCUGCCGCAUUCCCACUUCUGCCCCCAAAGCCUCCUAUUCCUGUGUGUGAGGUAGUAGCGGCAAGCACGGCAUCGGCAGCAGCGCACGAUGUGCGUGUCUUCUACCGCACCGGACGCUUUACGUCCGCACCGCCGCGCACCCUCAUGGAUCUUCUGCGCCUCUAUGUUGAGUUCUUCCUGCUCUGCGUCCAGCCAACGGUGCCGUGCCGCACCCGCGCGGCAGCAGCAGUGGCGGAUGCGGGCUGCAACGGCAGCUACCCGGCAGCUGCGGCCGCGAAACCGGCGGCGGCUGAUGUUGCAGCGCAACUGACGACGCUGACCUUCAUCAGCGUCCCCCACUGCGUGCGCUCCUUCUUGGAGGGCGUGGCCUUGCUACGCAAGGACCGCGAGGCGGCGCCUGCGGCAGCUGGCAAGGCGGCGGGGCGCAAGCGGCAUCGCGGCAGUAUCGAGCGCAACGGGACAAAGUCGGUGGCUGCCGACGACCCCGUCUUCGAGGAUGGCGAGGACAGUGACUUGCCCUACCAGCCGAGCGUCAUGCUUCAGCGGCUGCGUGAGUACGGCGAGGUGCAGGUGCCUGGCUUUGAGUCCGACUCCGCUUACCUUGCCGCAAAGGACGUGCUAGUGUACCUCAAACACUACGCAUACCUCGUCUCUGGCAUGGCCCUGAGCGCUGCAGUCCUCCGCAACAUCGAGCUUGUAGGCCUCGACUUCCGCCAACAGUGCGUGCCGUGCAUGGCCGCCGUCACCGAGCUUGUCGGCCACCUCAUCGAUGCGCAGCUUCACAAGAUGCAGCGGCUACCACGCGUGGUGCGGCUCAGCGAGCGAUUGCGUCUAUCCGCGAAGGCUGCCCGCACGCUCGAAUACCUGCUGGUGUGCCACUGCGGCCGCUACGCGGCCGGCAACAUCGCCGAGCCGCUGCGGCCGGCGAACAUUGCCUACCACAACGACCUUACCCCACAGGAGCUGCUGUCCAUUCUCUCUGAGAGUGGUGUGCUGUGGAAGCAAGGGCUCAUCUUUUCCGACAUCAAGAUGCGCACAACCUUCAUGGAGUGCAAGUACGCUCUGCCCAUAGAGACGAUCGCGGCCCUGAGUGGUGAUCAGCUGUCGGAGGAGCAGCUCAUUAAGCUGGAGCGCACCGCGCUGCUGGAGGUGCUCAACGAAGAACGGAACGCCAAGACGACGAGCACGGCGGCUGCCAUGCCGGCUCCGCGAGCAGAGGAGCACGUCGGUGGCAGUCGCUCUGUAUCACCAUCACCAAAGCGUGGCGAUGAGGAGGGCGAUGUGGAGGAUGAGGAGGACGACGACGCCACCGCCGACAGCGCCAUCGCGCUGACCGAGGAGGCGCUCGACAGUGUGCUGGAGGACAUCGACCCGGCUGUGCUGGCUUCGAAAGACCAGGACGCGAUUUACGAAGCCGUCUCGCACCGUCUCCGCAAUGCCCUCGCCGGCAGAACUGCCACGCAAGUCGGCGGUCGUGCCGUGGCAGCAGUACCAGUCGCAAAGAACUCCGCCGCGACAGAGACAGAGGAGGCGGUAAAGGGCGGCAAAAGUAGUAGAGAAGAGUCGGCGAUGGUGGCACCGGCUACAGCUCCGCCGACGGCACCGCCAUCGCGCACGACGGAUACCGCACCACGGCCGGAGGACGGCAGGGAGGCGACGACAGCGACGUCUGCGCCGCGCAAGGCACGACUGGUUCUUGCCGACAUCAACCCGCUCGCCCAGCGUUAUCGCUGCACCGGUACUGGCGCGGGUGCAGCGGCGGCGUCCUCCUCGCCAUCUGCCACGCCGCACACGGACUCGUCCAUGCGGGGGGUGCCCUACGAGUCCGACAUCGAGUACAUGGACGCGGCCUUUCGCAUCCUCGCGAACAUGAUUCGCAUCCGCUACGCGGAGGGCGACAUGAAGGACGAGGAGGACUCCUACACCCCCAAGUCUAAGGUGGAGGCGUCGAUACGGGAGUUGAAGGGCAAAGUUCGCGUCGCGGCGGCGGUGCACGAGUCACGGCUGCAAGCCACUCUCGCUGCCCGCGUCUUCACCCCGCGCAUCGAGCAGCUCGCGCAGCGGCUGCAGCUGACGGAGAUGGAGAAGCAGAUUAUGUUGUUCAUGGUUGGCAACGUCAUUUCGCACGACAUGCUGGUGGCGGUGAACGGCCGCUACGUUAUGCGGGACGGGCAGCGACUCAUCACGGUGGGGUACAUGCUCUUCGUCCUGUGCGAGUCGCUGGAGGAGCGCGUGGUGGCGCGUCGUGCCUUCUACCAGUCCUCUCCGCUCGUGUCCAACGGUGUCCUGUCCCUCACACUCGACGCUGUCGGCCGCUCCUGCUUCAACACGGACCUCAUGGACUAUCUCGUCGACAUUGAUCGGAAGAUUGUUGACGAUGUCAUGGGCAUCCCAGCUGAGACGGCGGAAAUGGUGCCCGGGUCGCAGUUGUACUUCCCCGAGGUGGAGCUGGCUAACGUGGUACUGCCCACCUCCACGAUGGACCGCGUCCUGUCCACCAUUGAGCACUACAGCCUCUUCGAACAGUGCAAGAAGAGCAGCGGCUUCGGCGACGGCCUCGGCACUAGCAAAGGAGGCCUCGUCAUGCUCUUCCACGGCCCGAGUGGCACCGGCAAGACGAUGCUCGCCAACGCCGUCGCGCACCACCUCAAGAAGAAGAUACUCCUCGUCAGCGUGUCGCAGUUUCGCUCCUCGACGAAGGCCGAGGCCGACGCGCUCCGCUUUCUCUUCCGCGAGGCGAAGCUGAGCGACGCCAUCUUGUUCUUCGACGAGUGCGAAGCGCUCUUCGAGGACCGCACGAGCAACGGCACCGUGACGGCGCUGCUGUCCGAGUUUGAGCGGUACGACGGCCUCAUCAUCCUCGCCACCAAUCGCGCGCAGAACUUCGACGAGGCCAUGAACCGGCGCAUCUCGCUCAUGAUGGAGUUCCGUCCGCCGGACCAUCAGCUGCGGCUGCGCAUUUGGAGGUCACACAUCCCAAAGCAGCUGCCCAUGAACGAGGACGUGUGCUUGGAGAAGCUAGCGCUGAACUACGAGCUCUCCGGCGGCCUGAUCCGCAACGCCGUCCUCGCCGCCUUGAGCAGAGCGGUGGCCCGCGAGAAGUCCUCUACACCGAAGCUGACAAUGAGCGACCUCGACGAAGGGGCUCGGCUGCAGCUGCGCGGCUUCUUUCUCGCCGCGGAGCUGCCGGAGGGGAUGAGCGAGUUCUACCUGACCCCGAAGCGCACGCUUGCCGAGCUGGUGGUGGAGCCGGAUCUCGCCAAGAAGCUGGAGGGGAUCGCCAGCAGUGCCAAGAGCCGCAGCACCUUGUAUACCGAGUGGGGCUUCAGCGAGGACGCCAACGACGACUGCGGGACGCUUUACCUGUUCCAGGGCGUGAGCGGCACGGGUAAGUCGCUGGCCGCGGAGGCCAUCGCCUACGAGUGCGGCGCCACCAUCCGCCUCUGCAACGUAGCGGAGCUCCUGCUCCGGGAGGAGAUGCGGGUGCACGUCGUGUUUGAGGAAGGACGCCGCCUCGGCGCCAUCAUCGUCUUUGACGAGGCGCAGGUCCUCUUCAACGAGUCCCCAAAGAGCUUACAACUCUCACAGCUCAUCCAGUACCACGCACGCCGCUAUCCGAGGCCCGUCAUCGUCAUCGCAACGACGGUGAACCGCGACGGCGGCGGUGGACGCCACCUGUUCUCCACGGCGAGCAUCAACUCACGCUCAUCGUGCAUGCUGUUCCAGGCGGAGCUGACCUUUGCGCUGCCUCGGCGGCUCCUGCGCGAGCAGCUGUGGCGAAAGGCGUUCCCAGAGCGCGUCCCGACGUCCAGCGACGUCGACUACGGUCGCCUCAGCGCCACGAGCAUCUCACCCAAGCUGAUCCGCACGAUAGCCUUCAAUGUCUGCUGCACUGCGGCGCUGUUGCCAGUGUCAGAGCGGGUCGUGACGAUGGCCAUGAUCGAGGCAGAGAUGGAGAGGACGGUUGCGCGGGAGCGCACCGCCGUCUCGGCGAGCGCGAUGUUUGCGUAGAUGGGGUGGGGCGAAGCGAGGAGGGGCGACGAGCUCUUGAAUACAGCAUCUCAGACCCUCCGGUAGCGGGUGACGGGUGGCUGCUGUGUGGGUGUGGUCCUUGCCCGCUGACUCACUCCUCCCGCACCGCGGAUAAUAAAGACAGAGACGCUUAAGCCGUGAACUCCACUCUCAGAGGCGCGUACACGGAGGGGGGCGACCCAUGUGCGCACGAGCGGCGUGAACACGCGGGCUGAGCAAGGCCGCGCCUGUGGUUUGUGCCCACACGCAUCUUUUGGUGACUGCAGGCGCGGCCACUUCCCCAGAGCGGCAAGAAUGG